UCUCCGUUGGUGAACCAGCGGAGGGAUCAUUACAGGACUCGCAAGACUCCUUCACCCUGUGAACCUCACUUCCAGCACGUUGCUUCGGCGGGCGUCCCGGCGGGGGUUUUCCGUCGGCGGGGCCCACAGCCGCCCGGCAGCCUACUAUACUCUGUCUAUUUUCGUUGGCAUCUCGAGAUUAAACAAACAAUUUAAAACUUUCAACAACGGAUCUCUUGGUUCUU
rnacentral:misc_RNA from 1 species